UAGCCGUAAACGAUACUCGCUAGGUGUCGGCCACGGUGCGACCGUUGUCGGUGCCGUAGGGAAGCCGUGAAGCGAGCCACCUGGGAAGUACGGCCGCAAGGCUGAAACUUAAAGGAAUUGGCGGGGAGCACCACAACGGGUGGAGCCUGCGGUUUAAUUGGACUCAACGCCGGGAAGCUCACCGGAUAAGACAGCGGAAUGAUUGCCGGGCUGAAGACCCUGCAUGACCAGCUGAGAGGAGGUGCAUGGCGUCAGUGACU
rnacentral:rRNA from 1 species